rnacentral:rRNA from 1 species
AACCACAGCCGUAUCAUCCUGCAGCCCAAGCCUCACUAAAGCUAAGCAGGGCUGAGCCUGGUCAGUACCUGGAUGUGAGACCACAUUGGAAAAAUAGGUUGCUGUUGGAA